rnacentral:rRNA from 1 species
UACGGAGGGAGCUAGCGUUGUUCGGAAUUACUGGGCGUAAAGCGCACGUAGGCGGCUUUGUAAGUUAGAGGUGAAAGCCCGGGGCUCAACCCCGGAAUUGCCUUUAAGACUGCAUCGCUUGAAUCCGGGAGAGGUGAGUGGAAUUCCGAGUGUAGAGGUGAAAUUCGUAGAUAUCAGGAGGAACACCGAUGGCGAAGGCAGCUCGCUGGGACGGUACUGACGCUGAGGCGCGAAAGCGUGGGGAGCAAACAGG